CGGAGGUGCAAGCGUUAUCCGGAAUCACUGGGUUUAAAGGGUGCGUAGGCGGUCUGAUAAGUCAGUUGUGAAAUUCCUCGGCUUAACCGAGUGGACUGCGAUUGAUACUGUCAGACUUGAAUCAGGUUGAGGUAGGCGGAAUGUGACAUGUAGCGGUGAAAUGCUUAGAUAUGUCAUAGAACACCGAUUGCGAAGGCAGCUUGCUGGGCUUAGAUUGACGCUGAGGCACGAAAGCGUGGGAGCAAACAGGAUU
rnacentral:rRNA from 1 species